AUUGAACGCUGGCGGCAGGCCUAACACAUGCAAGUCGAACGAGUGGCGGACGGGUGUGUAAUGUCUGGGAAACUGCCUGAUGGAGGGGGAUACCUACUGGAAACGGUAGCUAUUACCGCAUACCAUUGGAUGUGCCCAGAUGGGACUGGGUAGUAGGUGGGGUAAAGGCUCACCUAGGCGACGAUCCCUAGCUGGUCUGAGAGGAGGACCGGCCACACUGGAACUGAGACACGGUCCAGACUCCUAGGGGAGGCAGCAGUGGGGAAUAUUGCACAAUGGGCGCAAGCCUGACGGAGCCAUGCCGCGUGUAUGAUGAAGGCCUUCGGGUUGUAAAGUACUGUCAGCGGGGAAGCGUUACCCGCAGAAGAAGCACCGGCUAACUCCGUGCCAGCAGCCGCGGUAAUAC
rnacentral:rRNA from 1 species